rnacentral:lncRNA from 1 species
AGACACAGACAGAGCCUGCAAAAGAGGCAGGAGAGUAAGCAGCAGUUUGGAACAGACAGGGGAACAGAACAAACUGUGGGCACCAUGGGACUUGGCAUCCAGAGGUGGGGACACUGUGGAGACAAGGAGCACUGUGGAUCUGCCCAGCCACCCAGCUGUGUGAGAUGAGCCCUUGUGGAAGCUUCAGGCCAUGCAAAGGGGACAAAGAAUCCUUUCCCCUUGGGACGUUUCCAGAGCUUCUUGGAUAAUCCCAUCGUUUGGGUGUCUGAAAUCCCUAUGGGAAGCCCAGCACUUCCGGAGCGACUGCUGGGAUUCUCAGAGCUUCCCAGAACCAGCUUUGAUUUGAGCGGCUAAGCUAUGGGUGACCAGCUGCAGAACACCCCUGGUUCCGGGCCAGCUCUCUGGGCAUGGCCAGCAAUGGUCCAUGGGGACCUCUCCAGGAACACUCAGUCCAAACGUGCUGGAGUCUGUUACUGUGCAUCUCUGGGCAUGAGCCUGUGUGUGGGUGUAAAUGGACAAAUGAGCAUCUCCCCACAGCGAACCUCUCUGUGUUGUCAUGUUGUGUCUUCACUUUUGUCCACUAGCAUGUGUGUGUGGGAGGGGACUCACGUCUAGAUACGGGUAUAUAAUAAUAUGAGCAUACGACAUGUCAAAACUCAUGUGAAAGAGGGUAUGUAGCUGUGUAGCCAUGUGUGUGCAUAUGGAUACACCCUCCUAGUGGUUCUCCACCCAGUUGUGGCUUACAGCUGCCUUAGCAAUUUCCCCUUUUGCUGCCGCAGGAUCCCUGGCAUGUUCCAAUGUAACCUGGGCCCUGCCUUGCAGAGACCGGCAGUUUGAUGCUCUGUCGGCCUGCCUUUGUUCCUGCAGGGUGCAGCUCCUGUCUGCUUUCCCUCGCCUCCCAUUGG